AAUGCGCCCACUAACCCCAAUGUUUCCUUCGUUUUUUAAUCAUUUCCCUCUCUUUUUUUCCCAAACCCCUUUCUCAUUUUCAGCUAAAAACCCUCUUUCAUUUUCAAAAACAUUCCUUUAACCAAAUUCUUAACAGACCUAGCAGACAAGGGAUGAAAAUGAACAGCAUACAAAUUCCUCAAAAAUUCCUCUUCGAUUUUGCUUUCAUAGCAGCCCACUUUUAUACAAAUUCCUCUUUGAUUUUGCUCUGAUUUUGCUCUUUCAUUCUUUGAUUUUGCUUUUUUGCCUUUCUUUCAUCAUGCAUGUGGGUUUUAAGUUUAUGUUCUCAGUUAAUUUGUAUCUUUCCUUUACUGAUUUUUUCUCUUUCUUUCAUCUUGAUGUUUUUCAAUUCUCAAGAGAAAGUAGCAGAAAUUUAGUAGAAUCAGUGCAUUUUGAAGAAUGAUAUAACACUCUUUGUUGAAAUCGAGAUAACUCAUGCGGACCUUCAGAGAAGAUACAAUUGUCACUAGUUGCUUUUCCUCUCAAGGUUACAGUAAACACUCUUGCUCAGAGAAAUCCUUAUCAGUGGAUCGCUUCUGAAAGAUUCACAAGGAGAUAGCAAGAUACUUAAAGUGAAGAAAAGGGACGUGUUAAAUUUAUCUAAUGGAGAACGUAUUGUGGUUGAUUUUGACGACAUGGAUUCUCCCAUCAGUGAAGGACAAGGCAUUCUUGCAGGCUUUUGUGAAAUUUUAGCAACUGACUGCUCUAUUUUUCCAAUUCACUUUGAGAAAUGGCCGGAUUUACCUGUGACAACCUUCAACCGUUGUUAUGAUCGAUUUAUAAAGCCACGAUUUUGUUUUCGAACAACUGAGUCAAAUGCAAGACGAUAUGUUUAUAAUUCUAUGUGUAAGAAGUGGGGCUCAAGAAAGCUAAAGUUGUUUGAUAAGGUCUAUAAUCCACUUAAGAGCAGAGCCGAGAUAAUGGAAGCGUUCCACUGGGAAUUCCACCGGAUCAAUGGAUUUCUUAUGUUGAUUACCACUUUAAAGAAAAGACACAAGUAUUUAUUUCAAGAGGUUGAACCUUCGGAGGUUCCAUAAGAGAUGGCUGAGACUGGACAAAAGCCUGGACGAGGACAGCUUUAUCUCGCUAAAUGAAGAUGGAUCAUAUGUUAAUGAGGCGACAAAAGAGAUAUGUGAAAAAAUUGAACUAGCAUUGAGCCAAAGCAUCAUGGAUGAGUCUGAAAUUUCGCCAAAUGAUGUCGUUGGUAAGGUGCUGGGAAAAGAGCACUCUGGAAGGGUAAGGUGCUUGGGAUUAGGCGUUGUUCUUGGUAGAGCUUUUAGACAAACAAGACCUCGUUAUAGUGAUUUGAAUGCUUUAAGUUAUAAUAACGGUUCAUGUUCUUCCCAAUUACAAGAGAAGUACAAUCAAAUGUUGAAUGCUCACAAUCAAAGCCAAGAAAACUAUAGAGAAAUGAUGAAUGUUAACACCCAAAUAAUGAAUGCUAACACCCAAAUGAUGAACGCUUUUAAGGCGUAUAUGAUAAUGAAAGAAGGGAAGAUACCUGAAGAAUUUGCAGGGAUCUUUGUUUCUCCUCCUCAUUCAACGCCAGGUGAUGCGGCUAGCGGAUCUAUUUCCCCUAUGGAUGCAAGAAGAUCAUAUGGUGGAAGUAAUCCUAACGGCAACCAUUGAAGUUGCUUGCAAAUGUAUCUUACUCGAUUGAAUGGCCAUAGGAGAUCUUUUGUCCUUAAUUAAUAGUUGGAGUAAAUGUUCUGUUUAAAAUUAGUUUUAAGACUAACUAUAAUACUGAUGUUUUGUGUUUAAUGGAUGUAGUAGUUGUGUUUAAAGCAAGUUUUUGAGACUAAUGAUAAUUUACUUUAAUGUA